rnacentral:tRNA from 2 species
GGAGGGCUAGUCCUAACUGGUAAGGCAGCGGACUUGAAAUCCGCCGGGAGCAAUCCCAUGGGGGUUCGAAUCCCUCGCCCUCCG